ensembl:rRNA 5S_rRNA 5S ribosomal RNA
GUCCAUGGCCAUACUACUCUGAAUGUGCCUGAUCUCAUCUGAUCUCAGAAGCUAAGCAGGGUUGGGCCUGGCUAGUACUUGGAUGGGAGAGAGGGUCCACAAGCUGGUCUUUGCCA